rnacentral:rRNA from 1 species
GGUAGAGCACUGAAUGAGGUAGGGGCCUAACCAGGUUACUGAACUCUAUCAAACUGCGAAUACCAUGUAUUAAUACUCAGGAGUCAGACUACGGGAGCUAAGUUCCGUGGUCAAAAGGGAAAGAGCCCAGACCGACAAUUAAGGUCCCAAAGAUAUAGUUAAGUGGGAAACGAUGUGAAUUUGCGUAAACAACCAGGAUGUUGGCUCAGAAGCAGCCAUUCAUUCAAAGAGUGCGUAACAGCUCACUGGUCGAGUGAAUUUGCGCGGAAAAUUACCGGGGCUAAACUAUACACCGAAAUUACGGAUUUGUAAAUGAAAAUUUAUAAGUGGUAGAGGAGCAUUCUGUGGUAGGGCGAAGCUAAAGCGAGAGCAUUAGUGGACGAAGCAGAAGAGAGAAUGCUGGAAUAAGUAGCGAGAGCGAGGUGAGAAUCCUUGCCGUCGAAAGUCUAAGGUUUCCUGGGGAAGGUUCGUCCGCCCAGGGUAAGUCGGGACCUAAGGAGAGGCCGAAAGGCGUAUCUGAUGGAUAGCAGGUGGAAAUUCCUGCACUAUAGCCAUACUUAAAAGAUGCAAGGGACGCAGGAGAGGAAGAUAACCGAGGAAGAGGAAAAACUCGGAUCGAAAGAUGGAGUGAAAAUAUAAGUAACGAAGUAUCAAGAAUCACACUGACGAGAAAAGCUUGUAGAGAUUGUAUGGAAAUACCCGUACCGCAAACCGACACAGGUAGAUGAGGAGAGGAUCCUAAGACGAACGGGAGAAGCAUUGUUAAGGAACUCGGCAAAAUAACCCCGUAACUUCGGGAGAAGGGGAGCCUAUGUAAAAGUAGGCCGCAGUGAAAAGGCCCAAGCAACUGUUUAACAAAAACACAGGUUUCUGCUAAAUCGAAAGAUGAAGUAUAGGAGCUGACGCCUGCCCAGUGCUGGAAGGUUAAGGGGAAAUGUUAGGAGCAAUCCGAAGCAUAGAACUGAAGCCCCAGUGAACGGCGGCCGUAACUAUAACGGUCCUAAGGUAGCGAAAUUCCUUGUCAGGUAAGUUCUGACCCGCACGAAAGGCGUAAUGAUUUGGGCACUGUCUCGACAAUGUACCCGGCGAAAUUGUAGUACUAGUGAAGAUGCUAGUUACCUGCGACAAGACAGAAAGACCCCAUGGAGCUUUACUGCAGUUUGAUACUGGGUUUUGAUAAACUAUGUACAGGAUAGGUGGGAGACGAAGAAAGCAAGGCGUCAGCUUUGCUGGAGUCACCGUUGGGAUACCACUCUUAGUUUGUUGAAAUUCUAACUAGUGGUCAUGACCUGGCCAGAGGACAAUGUCAGACGGGCAGUUUGACUGGGGCGGUCGCCUCCAAAAGAGUAACGGAGGCGCCCAAAGGUUUCCUCAGCGCGGACAGAAAUCGCGCGAAAGAGUGUAAAGGCAGAAGGAAGCUUAACUGGAAGACAGACAUGUCGAGCAGAUACGAAAGUAGGGCUUAGUGAUCCGGUGGAAUUGAAUGGAAAAGCCAUCGCUCAACGGACAAAAGUUACCCUGGGGAUAACAGGCUUAUCUCCCCCAAGAGUUCACAUCGACGGGGAGGUUUGGCACCUCGAUGUCGGCUCAUCGCAUCCUGGAGCUGAAGUCGGUUCCAAGGGUUGGGCUGUUCGCCCAUUAAAGCGGUACGCGAGCUGGGUUCAGAACGUCGUGAGACAGUUCGGUCCUUAUCUGUCGCAGGCGCAAGAUAUUUGAAGGGAGCUGUCCUUAGUACGAGAGGACCAGGAUGGACAUAUAGAGGGUGAAUCAGUUGUUACACCAGUAGCAUAGCUGAGAAGCCAAGUAUGGAAGGGAUAAACGCUGAAAGCAUCUAAGUGUGAAGCCCACCCUAAGAUAAGAUAUCUCAUACCGUCAAGGUAGUAAGAUUCCAUGAAGACUACAUGGUAGAUAGGUUGGAGGUGUAAGUAUAGUAAUAUAUUGAGCUAACCAAUACUAAUAAAUCGAGGGCUUAACCAC